GCAAUUAAGUUAGUAAGACCAACUAGAGUCAAAAUGAAAUUUUUCUUUGUUGUCGUUUUGAUCUGUUUUGCCGUUGUGCAUGCAAGUACUGAACCACAGAGAGUUUCUCGUACAUUAAAUCAUCAUCGUCUUGGUCAUCGUCCGCAUGGUUUGAUUCAUAGUCCGCUUGGUACACCCUUGCAACCUAUUGGUACACCCUUGCAUUCGAUUGCCACUCCAUUUCACAGGCCAGGUGUUGGACUUGGCCGAUAAAUGCAACUAGAAGAACGGCACUCAAACUUUUUCAAUGUUGUUAUUCUCCAAUAUUUAUUCAACUUGAAUUUAAAAAAUUUCUUUUGUUAUUUUUUAAUUGGUGGAACUGGUUUACAUUGAUCAUGGUAAAAAAUAAAUCAUUGUGAAUAGUAAACGAAAUAGCUAUA